rnacentral:rRNA from 1 species
CUACGGGUGGCAGCAGUGGGGAAUAUUGGACAAUGGGCGCAAGCCUGAUCCAGCAAUGCCGCGUGAGUGAAGACGGCCUUAGGGUUGUAAAACUCUUUCGCUAGGGAAGAUAAUGACUGUACCUAGUAAAGAAGUCCCGGCUAACUCCGUGCCAGCAGCCGCGGUAAUACGGAGGGGACUAGCGUUGUUCGGAAUUACUGGGCGUAAGGAGUUCGUAGGCGGACUGACAAGUUAGAGGUGAAAUCCCAGGGCUCAACCCUGGAACUGCCUUUAAAACUGUCAGUCUAGAGACCGGAAGAGGUUAGGGGAAUACCUAGUGUAGAGGUGAAAUUCGUAGAUAUUAGGUGGAACACCAGUGGCGAAGGCGCCUAACUGGUCCGGUACUGACGCUGAGGAACGAAAGCGUGGGGAGCAAACAGGAUUAGAUACCCGCGUAGUC